UACGUAGGGCGCAAGCGUUUAUCCGGAAUUAUUGGGCGUAAAGAGCUCGUAGGCGGUUUGUCGCGUCUGCCGUGAAAGUCCGGGGCUCAACUCCGGAUCUGCGGUGGGUACGGGCAGACUAGAGUGAUGUAGGGGGAGACUGGAAUUCCUGGUGUAGCGGUGAAAUGCGCAGAUAUCAGGAGGAACACCGAUGGCGAAGGCAGGUCUCUGGGCAUUAACUGACGCUGAGGAGCGAAAGCAUGGGGAGCAAACAGG
rnacentral:rRNA from 1 species